UCAGGCCGAUGGAGCCAGCAUUUGUCCACAGACAGCUUUCUGGGUCAUGUGGCCAGCAUGACUUAACCGCUUCUGGCAUAACGGAACACCGUGAUGGAAACCAGAGUGCACGGAAACGUCAUUUACCUUUCCGCCACAGGGGUACCUACCGUAUUGGCCCCAAUAUAAGCCUCACCCAAAUAUAAGCUGCACCUUUAAAAUUCAAGGGGGGAAAAGAAAAAAAGACAAUACCCGAAUAUAGACCUCUCCCUUAAAAUUCCACAGGCAUUCACAUCCGUUCCGUUUUACUGUAUGUCUGUUUCAGCAGCGAUAUCGUAAAAGCCAAUUUUUGUAAGGUAGCGAAUUUAAGCCGCACUUUAACUUUUCACUGUUGGAAUUUGAUGGGAAAAGUGAGGCUUAUAUUCAGGCCAAUAUGGUAUUUAUCUACUUGCAUUGGCGUGCUUUCAAACUGCUAGGUUGGCAGGGACAGAGCAAUGGGAGCUCACCUCGUUGUGGGGAUUCGAACCGCCGAUCUUCUGAUCGGCAAGCCCAAGAGGUUCAGUGGUUUAGACCACAGCGCCACCCGCAUCUCCCUCUCCAGUAACUGUCUAGAUGGGUGCCUGCCUGGGAAUUGCAUUUAUGCUGCCUUAAGUUCCACGAUGGAAGAAAAGUAGGCUAUAAAUGUAUGGAAGUAAAUAGGCAAUACCGCUCAAAUGCAUUAUGCCCUGGAUGCAAGAGCUUUGGGGAAAAACACACACACACAAUGUUUGAGCUUUGCACUGGUAUCUGCUUUUGGAGGCUGAGAUUAGCCUGGGAGCGCUUAAUAAAAAGCAGAGAGGAAAGUGCCUCGGAGCAGAUGCAGACUAGUACAUUUCCUCGCAUCUGAAUAACUGGAGAGUCCCUCCGAAGCAGGGAUUAGGAAGUGGGGUAUCUGCUAGCUGCAGACGGAUGUGAGUCCUGCUUGAAGGAACUGCCCUCAUAUCAAGUGAGCAUUGGCUAUUCUGGAUGGCAGCAGUUCUGCAAGCACUCCGGGAUAUGGGCGAUAUCCAGUGCUGCUCUUCCACUUGCAAAAUGGAACUUCCCUUUCCUGUCCACACCCCCCUCCGGCCCCCUUAAAAUCUGCUCCAGGGAGCAUAAUUUGGGGUCAGCAGGAAGGAAAGGGCAGUUCUACUGCAUGAAUGGACUUCCUUUCACACGUCACUGGGUACACACUUAUAUCUUUUGAAUCACCUUUCACCUGAUCCAUAUAACUGGAUACGUGAGAGAUUUAAUUUGGGGAACUUCUGCAAGAAAUGCAGGUGCUUCUUACUACAGUGGUACCUCGGGUUACAGACGCUUCAGGUUACAGACCCAGAAAUAGUAGCUCGGGUUAAGAACUUUGCUUCAGGAUGAGAACAGAAAUUGUGGGGUGGCGGUGCAGCGGCAGCAGGAGGCCCCAUUAGCUAAAGUGGUACCUCAGGUUAAGAACAGUUUCAGGUUAAGAACGGACCUCCGGAACGAAUUAAGUUCUUAACCCGAGGUACCACUGUACUGAGCCACAGUAUUUCCCUGGUGCCUUUUUCUGUAGGAAUAAGGUCUAAGGUUUGUUGGCUGAAUGUUGAAUGCUAGGUGGUGAUAAUAAUCUUCUCACCAGUAGAAUAAUUGCAUCAUGGCCAUCAAUAAAAGGUGAUAUGAACAGAAUAAAUGACAUAAGAAUACUGAUAGAUUCACCCAAGGAGAGUGAAUGCUUUCUAAUUUGUAUUGGGGAGGGAAAGAAUUCAGCCACUUUUUCCAUAACACAGAAGGAGUAAUCUCUUAAACAGACAGAUAUCAGAGUUUCAUUGGAUCUUCAAGCUAGAGUUCUUAAUAAAGGAAGAAUCAGCCUCUUUUUAGUCCUUACUAAAUGGAUUGAAUAGUAAAGGGGCCGCUAACAUACAACCCUGUCUGACAUCUCUAGUGCUCAUUGCUGGCUUUUGUCGCUUUUGUAGAUAAGAAACCUUUCAGAGUCAUCUGUAUGCGAAUGCAACUAAUGAGAGUAAUGAAACAAAUAUAGAAUGGAAUAACUGCAAUUUUCAUGAAUGGGUAAUGAAACAAAUACAAUCUUUAAUAGUGAAAAUGAUUGGGUGUGUGACUAAACAUAUACAUCUUCUUGCAGACCCUAAUAAUAACCAGAAUUCCACAACCUGUUAAGUAAAAUUCUGCCAGCAUAUAACAGAUGAUCUCACGUUAUUUGAUUUAACAAAUAUUUGGAUCUCAUUUGUCAAAAAUAAAUGUAACAAAUAUAUAGCGAUUCUUACCUUCAUUUAGCCAAAACACCUCCAAUAGUUCUGUACACUAACAACAUGCCAUAUCAUUGUGCCAAAAUAAACAAGCAGUUUCUUCUAUUACCACAGCCUACUGUAUACAAAUUAAAAUUCCUCAACCCACCUAAAAAUCUAGUAUGAUAAACAUUCCUAUUAUGUAGUGGAACAGUUGUUGGACACAAUACAUUAUUCACUGUGAUUUUGCUACGAGAUAUGUUCAUUCUGUUGUGUGUUCCAAAACACUCCUCUUAAGUAUGCAAGUCAGGUUUAUAAUUGAUUGCAGUGGUUGUUGUUUUUUUGGUCAUGUUCUUUUCCAUUCCAAAAAAGCUAACGUUUUAGUAAAAAACCCCCAAAAACUGUUUUGAACAUAUGUGAGAGAACAUUCAGUGAUGAGUGAUGAGGGAAGCUCCACCAUAAGUUUCACUUCCAUACAACUCUAAAAGAUACAGGCAGCUUUUGAGGAUGAGGAUUAGGCUGCAUUUGCACCAUACAUUUGAAACACCAUGCUUCCCCCCCAGGGCUGUCUUAAGUAGGGGUCAGCAACCUUUUCCAGCCGUGGGCCGGUCCACCGUCCCUCAGACCAUUUGGUGGGCAGGGCUAUAUUUUG